rnacentral:tRNA from 1 species
GGUUAUAGCUCAGUGGUAGAACAUGUGUUUAGCAUUCACAAGACCCUCAGUUCAAUCUUCAGCACCA